rnacentral:misc_RNA from 1 species
CAAAACCCCGCGAAAAAUCUGUUGGCGGAAGUAGGUAAAGCUGCAGGUUGGAAUGCUUUGACAAGUUGAAGGAACGUGUUGCAUAUGCAGGCUUACUUAACAUGUGCGGUAUCCAUUGUUGGUAACGUCGGGGCUGAAGCCAGGAUUAGCGGUGAUAAAGAAAAGGCUUAUUGGAUUUCGAGACAUGUGAAGGGAAUUACGGGAGUGCGUGUGAACUCCAUUCAUGAAUUGUGUUUUUCUAUUUUUGUGCCUGCACUCUGCAGACUAAGCAAGGUCACUUUAAACUCAUGUUGGAAGCAGUAAGACUGCUGCAGUGACUUGAAACCCAGGUGAUGGAGGCAUCAGCUCAAGAUCCAACAUCUGCCUCUUCUGCAUCAUCAGAAUGGGUUGCCAUAGCAACUGAGGUUGAGCUACAGGAGAUUGGACGAAAGACUGCACUCGUCUCCAAUCGAAAAAUUACAGUAUUCUAUCGGGACAGGAGAUUUUAUGCAAUGGACUUCCACUGUUACCAUGCUGGUGGACCACUUGAUGUUGGAAAUAUAGAGGACAUCAAUGGAAUCAGCUGUAUUGUGUGUCCAUGGCACAAGUACAAGAUUAGCUUGGAGACAGGGGAAGGGUUCUAUCAAUCAAUUGAGGUUGCUGAAUUGUCGUCAGGAAUGCCCUACAUCCUUUGCCACACAGUAAUUCAUAAAUUAGAUGCAACUGAUGUUCAAAGUUACACUUGAGUGACAUUAAUUCACUCUUGCUGUUACAUAUUUGGCAAGUGAUUACUCUCAACUGAUGAAAGUAUCCAAGACAGAAGAGUAUGAGACCUGAAGAAUCCGAGACGGGCUCCAUGCUGGAAAUCAAAGGGCAUAAAACAGCGAACGCAUAGCGUAGAGGUCAGAGAAG